GUGCUCGCUUCGGCAGCUCAUAUACUGAAAUUGGAAUGAUACAGAGAAGAUUAUCAUGGCCCUUACAAUGAGGAUGGCGUGCAAAUUUGUGAAGCUUUCCAUAUUUUU
ensembl:snRNA U6 U6 spliceosomal RNA